CCUGGCCUUCAGCGGGGAAGCGGGCGACACGGGUAGGAGCGGUGGCCCGGGUGGUUUGGGAAGCCUGCCGGCAGGCCGGGGUGGCACCCUUGGAAGGAACAGGUGGUGCGGAUGCGGCACAGCUCAUUCAUUGCCCAAGCGCGGCUCUCCCUCCAUCGUCCGUCCCUCCCUCUUCCUCUCCUCUUGGGAGUCACCUGUCCCCGCCCGGCUCGGGGUCACUGAAUGACCUGGGAGGAGGGAAGGAAGAAAGGCGUUCAGAAGAGGAGAGGAAGGCUUCUAAACGACAGCCUCGAUGGAGUCAGUAGGAAUGCUGAGAUCUGCAGCUUCUCGGCCUCUUUACCUCCUUUCAGGAAGAGAUCUCAUUGAAGAUUACAAGAUCACCUUUGGUUAUCAGUGCUUGGGAACUGAGUCAGAAUCUUUAAGAAGAGGGAAAUGAAGCAAGAUGACAAACAGAAUACUAUGGCAUUCAUUCCAUACCAAGGGAACCAUUUAUUUAUAAUUCUGAAAUUUCAAGAACUCCCCAAAUACAAGAAUUUCAGAGAUGGGAUUAUAGACAUGUAUUUUUAUUUAAUUUUAUGAUUCUACUAUGGAGAACUUAACAUGUCUGCCACAAUGUUGUUUUACAAAGCCUGUUUUAAAUGAAUUGAUGUGAAACCUUUGCUCAAAGUAUACUGUAUGUAGUA